rnacentral:tRNA from 1 species
GGGGGGUGUAACUCAGUGGUAGAGCGUUCGCUUCGCCUGUGAAAGGUCCGGGGUUCAAACCCCCGUUCCUA